rnacentral:lncRNA from 1 species
GGGGGGGUCACAGUGACACUGGUGGGGUCGUGGUGACACCAGGGGGUUGUGGUGACACCGGGGGGGUCGUGGUGACACCGGGGGGGUGUGGUGGCUCCAGGGGGUGGCGGUGACACCAGGGGCUCGUGGUGACACCAGGGGGUCCAUGGUGACUCUGUGGGGUCAUGGUGACACUAGGGGGUCGUGGUGACGUUGGGGGGGUUACGGUGACACCAGGGGGCUCGUGGUGACACCAGGGGGUGGUGCUGACAUCGGGAGGGUCGUGGUGACACCGGGGGGGUCACGGUGACACCGGGGAUGUUCCUCGUGCCCACCUUCCUCCAGGUCGCUGCGCGCGGCCGCCUCCAGCAGCCGGACGUUGGCGGGGAACCUCACGCGCUUCUCCGCGCCGCCCUCACCCUCGCCGUCGUCGCCGUCGCUCUUCCUCCUCCUCCUCCUCCUCGCCCCGCUGCCGCCGCCGUCGCCGCCGCCCCGCGCCUCCUUCUCCAGCUGCGCCCAGGCCUUGAGCUGCUGCGCGCGGCGCUUCUGGGCGUGCUUCAGGCGCUCGGCCGCGCUCAUCCUGCUCACCGCCGGCAUCUCCGCCAGCAGCUCCGCGUGCUCGGCCAUCGCCGCGGCGGAGGCGGAGGCGGCGGCGGCGGGGGGGGGCUCGGGGCUUGGCCGCGGGGCCCCCGGGGGCAUGCCGGUGCCGUGGGGGUCACCCCCGCGCGCCGAGCAUCGCCCGCGGCACGCGGUGGCCUUCGCUCUUCCUCCUCCUCCUCCUCUUCCUCCUCCGGGGUCCCGGUGCCGAGGCCGAAGGCUGCCGGCCUCGUUACCUGCCGGCCUCGUUAUGCUCCGGCCUCGUUACCUGCCGGCCUCAUUACUCAGCGGCCUCGUUACCCACCGGCCUCUACCUGCUGGCCUCUCUACCUCCCCACCUCGUUACCUGCCGGCCUCAUUACACUCCGGCCUCGCUACCUGCCAGCCUCUCUACCCCUGGGCCUUGUUACUCUCCAGCCUCGUUACCUGCCGGCCUCGUUACUCAGUGGCCUUGUUACCCA